rnacentral:rRNA from 1 species
UACAGAGGGUGCGAGCGUUGUCCGGAAUCACUGGGCGCAAAGGGCGCGUAGGUGGCGGCCCAAGUCCAUGGUGAAAGCUCGAUGCUCAACAUCGAGUCGGCCACGGAUACUGGGUUGCUCGAGCACUGUAGGGGCAGAUGGAAUUCCGGGUGUAGCGGUGGAAUGCGUAGAGAUCCGGAAGAACACCGGUGGCGAAGGCGGUCUGCUGGGCAGUUGCUGACACUGAGGCGCGACAGCGUGGGGAGCAAACAGG